GCACAUGUAUGUGACAGGUACACAGGUGACUGUAUAUGCACAGACGGCAGUAAUAGGACAGCAGUAAGAAGACAAGUCAGAGGACAGCAGUAAAACCACUGCAGCUGAGAAGGUCCUGGAGAACCAUUAAGGGUCAUAUAAACAUCACAAUCACCUUGAAGCGACAGAAAUCUCAUCUUCUCAAAGCAAGAAGAACAUAAAACAUCCCAAAGGAAAGAGGUGACGAGAACUUCUUGCCACUAUGUGGACGGUGGGGAGAUUCGCACUCUUUCUUUUGACUGCCACAGCAAUAAAAGGCCAAAAUACAAACGAAACGACUACAACUCCAACGGCAACCGAAAACACAACCACUCCGACCACAACAGUGACAUCAGGUACUACAGAAAUGAUUACAAUGACAACGACAACCGAAAGCACAACCACGCCGACCACUACUGCGACGUCAACUACAACUGAAACGACUA